rnacentral:rRNA from 1 species
AUGGCGUGCAAGUCCAGCUGCAACCUCCUCCUCUUGGCCGCCGUCCUGCUCUCCGUCGUCGCCGCUGCUUCCGCCUCCGGCAGCUGCGUCCCAGGGGUGGCUUUUCGGACCGAUCUUCUGCCACACUGCCGCGACUAUGUGUUACAACAAACUUGUGGCACCUUCACCCCCGGGUCGAAGUUACCCGAAUGGAUGACAUCCGCGUCAAUAUUCUCCCCCAUGAAGCCAUACCUCGCCAAGUUGUAUUGCUGCCAGGAGCUCGCAGAAAUUCCUCAGCAGUGCCGGUGCGAGGCGCUGCGCUACUUCAUAGCGUUGCCGGUACCGUCUCAGCCCGUGGACCCGAGGUCCGGCAAUGUCGGUGAGAGCGGCCUCAUCGACCUGCCCGGAUGCCCCAGGCAGAUGCAAUGGGACUUUGUCAGAUUACUUGUUGCCCCGGGGCAGUGCAACUUGGCGACCAUUCACAAUGUUCGAUACUGCCCCGCCGUGGAACAGCUUCUGUGGAUCUAG